UGCCAGCACUCCUAUCCCUACCUCCUCGUGGUACUGGCCGGGGUACGAAUAACCUUGGGAAAGAUCGGGUAACCAACCCCGGUGGGAACUCUGGUCGUAUGCUGACAGGAAAGG
rnacentral:ribozyme from 1 species